rnacentral:rRNA from 1 species
UCGAGGGCUUUACUGUCUCUUACUUCCWWUYCGKGUAAWUUGACCUUCCCGUGAAGAGGCGGGAAUAUGACAAUAAGACGAGAAGACCCUAUGGAGCUUUAAUUAACCGACCCAAAGAARAWCUUGAUAAUCAACCGACAGGGAUAACAUACCUCUACCAUGGGCCGACAAUUUAGGUUGGGGUGACCUCGGAGWWURAAACAACCUCCGAGUGAUUUAAAUCUAGACUAACUAGUYGWAAGUACUACAUCACUUAUUGAUCCAAAAACUUGAUCAACGGAAMAAGUUACCCUAGGKAUAACAGCGCAWUCYUAUUUUAGAGUCCAUAUCGACAAUAGGA